UUUAUCUAGAAAUGUGUUUUUUUUUUUAAAUGUUAGAGGUGGUGAUGAUCAGUUCACUGAAUGAUUCAGUGAUAUCAUUGUCUGUUAAUUGUUGUACCUUUAAACUAUGUGUUUACCUUGAUGAACACAGAAGACGUUGAGGAGGCCGUAGGAGGGCAACAACCCAGCAGCAAAAUGGCUCCCUUUAUCUGUGAUAACUUGAGUGACCAAUGAAUAUGUGUAUUUAAUGGAGGGUAUUACAUUUUUUAAAUAUGUGCAAAUAAGACAUUGAAGAUGAAUCAUUUACAGUUGUUGGAAUACAGGAAUGACAAGACAAUUUAGAGUUGAUGUAUCGCAAUUAAGCAUAGGAUCCACUGUAUACCACAUCUUCACACCAGAGGAACCUGACCCAGCCAACAAGCCUGCAGAGGACAGAGGGACCAACCAGUCACGUCAUGAUUGAAGCUGACCGAGAGCUAUCAGUCAUGGUGCAGGAAAUAUGGGAUAAAGACGUCAACAGACUGAAACCAGGGACAGACUACCGGAUCUCUCUGCAGGGGAAAGCCGGGACUGAAUGCUGACAUGAAUGAUGACAGUGAUGGAGCUGGAUAUCCUCUAUUCUCGUUUGUCAAUGAAAGCAUUUUCAAAAAGGAGUCUUUCUUCGGUAAACGCUUGAGCCUUUAUCUCUCAACUGGAUAACUAUGAAAGUGAUACUGGUGAGCCUGAGACUGUAACCCUAGAGGAGGAAGCUGAAAACCACAAGUUUCUGGACUGCAUGCUUCGAAUGCCCACCCUGAAGUUAUCAGUUAAAACAUAUGGUGGAGAGGUCGGUAACAAGAAUACUGUAUCUUUAUUUAGUCUGGUGAGUAGGAACAUAAGUCAAAUCACAGAUGCAUGCAGAAAAAGUUAAAAACCAUUUUAAUGUCACAUCAAUUCACAGGGAGAACCAUGGCCAAGUUGGAACCUUUACAAGCUAAAGUGAGUCAAUCAACACCCCAUGAUUGAAAUUUUCUCGAUAUGUUUCUCUCAUUUUUAGAUUGCACAUAAGUACCUAGUAGAGAAACAGCUCUCCCCAGAGGGAUUACCGGAAUUCAAGGAGCAGCUGUACCGUAUCUGGUUUGUGCUGUACGCCAGACGAGGAACUAGCAGGUGGGUAUAAAACUCUUCUCAAGGAGCAGCUGUACCGUAUCUGGUUUGUGCUGUACGCCAGACGAGGAACUAGCAGUGGGUAUGAAACUCUUCUCAAGGAGCAGCUGUACCGUAUCUGGUUUGUGCUGUACGCCAGACGAGGAUCUAGCAGUGGGUAUGAAACUCUUCUCUUGUGUAACUGUUACUUUUCAGAUGUCAAAAUAGUUCUUCAUUAGGCUGCUAAAUGUUUUCUCUUCACUGGUUAGGGUUAUGUUUGUUCAAUGUGAAAUCCAUUCACAAUUAAAGAAGGCUGUAUUGUCACCUCAGUCUCCUAUUUAUUUAGUCUUUAUGCCUGUCUUUUCAAAUGGCAUACAGUGUGGACUUAGGACUCGAGACUUGGCCCGACUCAAGGCACACAUUUGAUGAAUUGAGACUUGACUUGGCAGGAAAGAAAAUAACUUGAGACUUGGAGCCUCGAGACUCGGGACUCAACUUGAGAUUGAUGUCUCGAAAGGGUUUAUCUUACUAUAUGACACAAUGAAAAUGGCCUGUUGCUGUUUCAUUCAAUGACUAGACAAAAUAUAGUUCUAUAGUCAUCAUUACAUCUAGGGAAAAUAUGACCAAUCACUCAAGCUUGAGACUUGGGAGGAAAAAACAACAACUUGUGACUCCACAUGACUUGAGAUUACAAUGACUUGACUUGCCCUUAGCUUUUGUGUAUUCCUAGGAGUAGAGUAGUCUAUUUUCACUUAUGCUAUACCGUAUGUGAAGCCGCAGAUUGUGCUAUCAUGUCAUCAUGUGCAUCACCAAGCUAAUCUAAGUGGUGGAUGACCUCUCAUUACUCUUCAAUAUCAUCCCUUCAGGAAGAGGGUGGAAAAGCAGUGGUGUUCUAUGUUCCAGCCUCAUAAUGUUCUCCCAUGUUCCUCCAGGCCGGACUCCUCUGGGUUUGAGCAUGUCUUUGUCGGAGAGACCAGAGGGGGCCGCACAGUCAUCGGCUUUCAUAACUCGAUCCAGUUGUAUAUGCAAGUGAAUCUGGGAAACAGUGAUUAAAGGCUACACUACAGUGUGAAUGCAAAUUCUCCCCAGGUUAGAUUUUUUUUAAACUGGCAUGAUGAAUGUAUGUUUUGAUUAUCAUGUUGAAUCAGAUGUGCGACUUUGAUGAGUUGACAGUUAACAAUUCCAGAGUAUUCUUUAGAAAUGAUGUGAAAUACACUGCUCAAAAAAAUAAAGGGAAC